CACGGGGGUUGCGAGCGUUGUCCGGAAUUAUUGGGUUUAAAGGGUGCGCAGGUUGUUUGAUAAGUCAGUGGUGAAAGUCUGUCGCUUAACGGUAGGAUUGCCAUUGAUACUGUUGGACUUGAAUAUGGAUGAGGUAGGCGGAAUGUGUAGUGUAGCGGUGAAAUGCAUAGAUAUUACACAGAACACCGAUUGCGAAGGCAGCUUACUAAUCCAUCAUUGACGCUGAGGCACGAAAGCGUGGGGAUCAAACAGGAUUA
rnacentral:rRNA from 1 species